AAGUGGUGGAAGGAAGCGUCCAUUUGGUAGGCGAGUGUUAGGGUCACGUAGCUCAUUAAAGAAGGGAUGGAUCAACGCCUCCAGAGCUGUACUUCGAAGAUUUGGAGAGUACUGCAAUAGUCUUGAGACAAGGUCCACAGCUUCAGGGGGCAUGCACUUAUGGAAUAUCUUAUGCCAUGGGUGUGCUUUAAUUUGUGGAAAUUUGAACUCAGUGUAGUUAGGAUUCAUACACUUGAUUUCCUCCCGUG
rnacentral:misc_RNA from 1 species